rnacentral:sRNA from 1 species
GCUACCACCCCUAAACAGGUACAGGAAGGGGGGGUGCUAUCAAUGGAUACAAUUUUAUCAUUUAUGCUUUCUAUUCUGGCAGGUGUAAUCACCUAUUACAUUUGCAAAUGGCUGGAUAGAAAAUAGUAGCUGGUAGCCAGCCUGGGGAAUAAGCCACCCUUGCCAAAACGGAAUAAAAAAGCCUCGGAGAUGCGACCUCCGAGGCUUUUUGCUGUGUUACC